rnacentral:RNase_P_RNA from 1 species
GACAAGCUUGCUUGUCAGGGGACGGAAAGUGCCACAGAGAACAAACCGCCAGCGGGCUGGUGGAAGACAUUCACCAGCAGCGGGUAAGGGUGAAACGGUGGGGUAAGAGCCCACCGCCCCAAUGGUGACUGCGGGGGCACGGUAAACCCCAUCUGGUGCAAGACCAAAUAGGAAGGUGGCUGGCCCGGCCAUAACCUUCGGGUAGGUCGCUUGACCCCAAUGGUAACAUUGGGGCUAGAGAAAUGAUCAUCACCCUGGGCUACUGCCCAGGGCACAGAAUUCGGCUUAUGAACGGCCCCGGCAU